GGCGCCUUCGUCUAGAGGCAGGACAACGGGUUCUCAUCCCGUUAACGGGGGUUCGAUUCCCCCAGGCGUCA
rnacentral:tRNA from 1 species